UGGGGAAUAUUGCACAAUGGGCGCAAGCCUGAUGCAGCGACGCCGCGUGAGGGAUGACGGCCUUCGGGUUGUAAACCUCUUUCACCAGGGACGAAGCGCAAGUGACGGUACCUGGAGAAGAAGCACCGGCCAACUACGUGCCAGCAGCCGCGGUAAUACGUAGGGUGCGAGCGUUGUCCGGAAUUACUGGGCGUAAAGAGCUCGUAGGUGGUUUGUCGCGUUGUUCGUGAAAACUCACAACUCAAUUGUGGGCGUGCGGGCGAUACGGGCAGACUAGAGUACUGCAGGGGAGACUGGAAUUCCUGGUGUAGCGGUGGAAUGCGCAGAUAUCAGGAGGAACACCGGUGGCGAAGGCGGGUCUCUGGGCAGUAACUGACGCUGAGGAGCGAAAGCGUGGGGAGCGAACAGGAUUAGAUACCCUGGUAGUCCACGCCGUAAACGGUGGGUACUAGGUGUGGGUUCCUUCCUUGGGAUCCGUGCCGUAGCUAACGCAUUAAGUACCCCGCCUGGGGAGUACGGCCGCAAGGCUAAAACUCAAAGGAAUUGACGGGGGUCAUAGCUGUUUUCCU
rnacentral:rRNA from 1 species